rnacentral:misc_RNA from 1 species
UACAAUAAAUACGUAGAUAAACGGUACGUAUACAUCUGCUAUUAUAAUAAUUAGAUGAUUCAUGAACGAUACAAUUAUUUUUCGGUAUACAGCCGUGUGAGACGAGAGGCUCUAUGAUUUUAUUUUCCUAAGCUAGUUAUACUUUCCACAACGUACCCUACACAGCCACGAGUUUAUUGACUCACGUGUGUCUCGUUAAUAACCGUUUGUUAAUUGGAGGAAUUUGUUUGCGUAUUAUGGCAAAGUAGAGGUACGUAUACACGGACCGUAUGUAGUGUAACGACGUUCGAGAAUUGAGAAUGGCUUCUCAAAACUCCGAUGGAAAUAGCCGGCGAGAAGAAAUAAAGGCGCUGGUGCAGGGGAUUCAAUCGCGCGAAGAGAGAUUAAAAUCUCGGCACAGACGCCCCGAGAUUUCGAGAGCUUGCAGGCGAGGGUUCGCGCUAUGGAAAUUAUUGAAAUAUACAAUCGAUUUGUUCAUAAAAGCUGCGCACGUGCGGUGAAAAAAUUAACGCACGAGAAAUUAUGAAAAGUACUUAUUGAAUUUUAAUGCAAUUCAUUAGUUUAUUGUACAGCGAUGGUUCCGGGAGUCGGUCUACACGUGGUACCGAACAAUGUUAUUUAUUUAAUUUUAUUUUCCAUUUUCUCGAACUCAUUCUUAAACGGAAUUUUCGCGUAAACGAAAAUUACUAAUCGGAUACAGGUCGGACGUUAAAACUGGAAUGAAUGUUGACGUGGUAAUUUAAAAAAUGAAACCACCAUAUCCCUGUUACGGUUACGGAUGGACGCUUCGCGAGACUGUAAUUGUCAAUGAGGUCAGUUUCCGGUC